rnacentral:ncRNA from 1 species
GCCACCUUCGGGGGGCUAAACAUAGCGGAGAUAUCGGGCAAACCCGUUGCUCCGCAUUGCUAAACGGAAGACAGAAA